rnacentral:lncRNA from 1 species
CUUCCCCCAGCCUCAAGGAUAGGCACAUGACUCAUGUCUGGCCAAUUUAUAGUACCCAAUUCCUUGGAUAAUAAUGAUUGUUCUAGAGAGGAUGCUCGUGGGAUCUAAGCAGGGACAAUCAGAAUCCAACGGGAAGAACAAUAUACAGACUGAAGGAAGUAGACUCUCUCUUUCUAUUAGGAUGGCUAAACUGGGAGAAUGUGAAUCUGGAGCUGCCCAGUGGAGAGCUCUUGUUUGUGCAGGAAGCUAAGCAGAGUCAAGCAAAAGUGAGAAGCGCAAGGAGAGAUGGUUCUUGAGAUGGAGUCUGGCUAAUAUGGGGGCUUAGGUGGAAAGAAACUGAUGGGCCCACCUGUCACAGACAAGAGAGGACUUAGAACCCAUUCCUGCAGAGAUUAAUGCUACACUUCCCUCAAAGGGGGUCUUUAGAGAGCCUGGCCUGGGACAUCCACAAAAUAUCGUCUCUUUUCAAGAUUAGUUUCCAUGGAACACACUUUGGGAAAUGCUGCCUGACAACUUUUACAAGAGUCUAACCACUGGAUUUGCACAUUAAUUCAUACUCCAUUAUCCAUACCUGGGAACCCUCCUCUCAAAGAACAGUCAUUUCUCAAGGAGGAAACCUUCAUUCUGCUUAGGGAAUCUGUGGUUUAAUUCAGGGAAGUGUUGCCAUGCUAUUUGGCCAGAGUUAG